rnacentral:rRNA from 1 species
CUACGGAGGGUGCAAACGUUGUACGGAAUCACUGGGCGUAAAGGGCGCGCAGGCGGUUUGAUUAGUCAGAUGUGAAAGCCCACGGCUUAACCGUGGAAGUGCAUUUGAAACUGUCAGACUUGAGUACCAGAGGGGGUAGUAGAAUUCCCGGUGUAGAGGUGAAAUUCGUAGGUAUCGGGAGGAAUACCGGUGGCGAAGGCGACUACCUGGCUGGAUACUGACGCUGAGGCGCGAAAGCGUGGGGAGCAAACAGGAUUAGAAACCCCGGUAGUCC